UUCUGGGCCGGCCCUCAGUCGCUGCCGGGCGGCGGGAGCGAGCGGAGCUUUUGUCUCGGGGCUCUGUCGCGGUCGUAUCGCGACUCUUUCGCGGGUGGAGAAGCGUGGCCCGGCGCUAUGGGGGUGACUCACGAAGCGGGGCUCUCCCCUCAGGACCCGUGCGGGGGCAGCCCGGGCGGCUGGAGCCGGAGCGCCCAGGUGCCUCACGAGAACCAGCACCAGGGGGGCCCGGCCGCGCCCAGCGGAACAGAGACUGGGCAUUGCAGAACAGCAGUAAAAACAGAACCAGCUUGUGAAAGCACCUGCGUGCAGAAAACGGAAGACAUGACGGGUUUCAUGGAUGACUUGACCCUCAGCUCUCCGAAGAAGAGAGAGACGUCCGUGAGAUCCAAGAGGAGCUGUGACAGGUCAUCAACAAGGUCCUCCAGCAGAUCCUCGUGCAGCUCACGGUCCAGCUCCAGCAGCUCCUCUUCAGCCUCCUCGCGGAGCUGGAGCCGCUCCAGGUCGAGGUCCCGGGCCCGAAGGAACGGUUCCCGCCGGUACCGGAGAUACUCCCGCUCCUACUCGCGGAGCCGCUCGAGGUCGCGCGGGUACCGCCGGUACCGGGGCAGGUACCACGCCAGGCACUACCGGAGGUACCGCCGCUCCCCCCCGCGCUACCGAUCCCGCAGCAGGUCCUGGUCCCGCGGCAGGUCCUACUACAGAAGGUCCUACUCGAGGAGCAGGUCCCGUUCCAGAGGCCGGAGAUAUUACGGAUUUGGGCGAACCAUAUAUCCCGAGGCUUACAGGAGCUGGAGGAGCAGGUCACGGACACGGUCCCGCAGUAGGUCACCUCUCCAUCUCAGUGAGAAAGACAAGAGGGAACUCCUGGAAAUUGCGAAAGCCAAUGCUGCCAAAGCUCUGGGAACAGAUAACAUUGUCUUGCCAGCGAGCUUGAAGAUCCCUCCUCCUGCCAAAGAGAUAAAAAAUGAAAAACAGGAGCGGGAAGAACCUGGAGAGUCAGCUGAGAUGUUGAGAGAGUACAGAAGAAGAGGCCUGCAUCACUUGCAGAUAAGUUUAUUGUCAUUAUCCAAAGCUCUGCAGGAUGGUUAUGCAGAACUUAAUGCCACUUGCUCUGUCACUGCACUCGUGUGACAGUUCAUGCUGUGACUGUUUGAAUCCUUAAAAACUGUAACUGGGCUGUGGAUAUCACGUCCAUUCACACCCGAAUUGGCACAGCCACGUUGGUAAAAAUACUGAAUGCAUUUCCAAUUGGGUUCAGCAUUGCUCUGUUUGCAUAUCCAGUAGCUUUACAGCUACUUUUGAUGUAAAUAUCUGAAACAACUCCAUACCAGAAAGUUCAUGCUCUGUAGUAACUGCCUGACCUUGCAUGGGGUGAUGUGUCCUCCCACUUAGGCUGUGUGUGCUCUUCUCUAGCAACCCAGAAGUGCAGCAGAAGACAUGACCAAGACUGGGAUGGAGAGAGCAACCAUACAGAGGAGCAUUUCCUUCAGUCCUAAUAACACAAUGGCAAAGCCAGCCCUGCAGAAGCCAGUGAGCCAUGUUGUUAAGGAGCCAGUAGUUUCUCCAGCAAGAGAAGAUGACAGGAAGGGAAGUCCCUAUGGGCAGUGGGUUCCUGUCAAGAAGGAGGAGAAGAAAACAUUCUUAAACUUCUCACCCAAAAGCACCCUGUUCCGGGCACGCUGAUGGGAUUCACUGACUGCAGCACUUCACAUCCUUCAGUAGAGAGAUUGCAAACUUUCUGAUGGGGUUGAAGAUUUGUUAAUACUGAGUAUUUAUUUUGAGAUUUUUAAUUUUUGGAAUCUAAGGUUUCUCUUUCAGAUAGAGAGCACACUGAUCCCGAAGCCACAGAUGGGAAUCUUGUGUAUAUUUGUAAAUAUUUUGUAUUGCUUUAUCGGACUAGACCUUGCAGGUGGGUAACUUUUUCUAAACCAUAGUUGAGUAGCUGUUCUUUGGACACUUGGAUUUACAUUGUGUUGUAACUGUUUACUUCAAGUGAAUAAAGUUUAGUUUUGCACUGGCUUAAUGUGUGAAGUGUUAGACCUGUGUUAUGAGUAUGUCCUGUCUGUGAUUUAGCUUUCAAUUACCUGACUUACCACAAGGUGCAACAGAAGGUAGUUGUUGCAUCAUUAAAGCAGAUCUUUAUGCUGGAAUAGUUCCUGCCUGGGCUGUGCUUAGUUCAGAGCCUUGAGCACCUUCCCUGGAUAUCCCUCUGGAAGUGGAAAGCUUGUGCAGGAUGUUGUAUGUGACUGCCGUAGGUGAAGUCACCGCCCUUCUCACUGUCCCUUACUGCACCGUGAGCAACUUGUCCCUUCUGCUCCUUCUAAUGCUCGACUUACUGCAGGCUUGUUUUACUUAGUUGGUUUAAAACCAGCCCCUAAGGGUCACCGUGAGGCAGGAGGGGGAAGGCAGUCAGUGCAGGAGGGUUCAUGCUGACAGGGUACAGGUUACGCUGCCUGUGAUGACUCCACGGCUCAGCCAGACCUCUGCUCCGGGAGAAAAGGAUGGGAGAAAUCAACGGGCUGUUGCAUGGACUUGGUGCAAUUGGUUAAACCUGGGUUUUGUAUAAAUAAAUUAGUAAAA